ACCAGACUCCUACGGGAGGCAGCAGUGAGGAAUAUUGGUCAAUGGGCGCGAGCCUGAACCAGCCAAGUCGCGUGAGGGAAGACGGCCCUACGGGUUGUAAACCUCUUUUGUCGGGGAGCAAAGCGAACCACGUGUGGUUCAUUGAGAGUACCCGAAGAAAAAGCAUCGGCUAACUACGUGCCAGCAGCCGCGGUAAUACGUAGGGGGCGAGCGUUAUCCGGAAUUACUGGGUGUAAAGGGAGCGUAGACGGCGAGGUAAGCCUGAAGUGGAAGCCCGCGGCCCGACCGCGGAACUGCUUUGGGAACUGUUUUGCUGGAGUAUGGGAGGGGUAAGCGGAAUUCCUGGUGUAGCGGUGAAAUGCGUAGAUAUCAGGAGGAACACCGGUGGCGAAGGCGGCUUACUGGACCAUAACUGACGUUGAGGCUCGAAAGCGUGGGGAGCGAACAGGAUUAGAUACCCCAGUA
rnacentral:rRNA from 1 species